UACGUAGGGUGCGAGCGUUAAUCGGAAUUACUGGGCGUAAAGCGUGCGCAGGCGGUUGUGUAAGACAGUUGUGAAAUCCCCGGGCUCAACCUGGGAAUUGCAUCUGUGACUGCAUAACUAGAGUACGGUAGAGGGGGAUGGAAUUCCGCGUGUAGCAGUGAAAUGCGUAGAUAUGCGGAGGAACACCGAUGGCGAAGGCAAUCCCCUGGGCCUGUACUGACGCUCAUGCACGAAAGCGUGGGGAGCAAACAGG
rnacentral:rRNA from 1 species